ensembl:lincRNA Gm28189 predicted gene 28189
GCCAAAUCUAAAAGGUAAUAGAUCUAUGUUGCUAAGUUAACUGAAAAGUCCAAGUUUGGAUUUACAGAGCUAACAAAACGAAUAAGAAUUGAAUUCUAUACAUCAAAGAAAGUUGCUGCAGUUUAGUAACUAAUGAACCCUAUUUUCAACAACUGUAUCUUGAAUCUGCCAACAGGAGUCUUGGAAGAAAAGUUAACAUAGAUGACAAUCAUCCACAAAGCAUUCCUCUUUAUUAAAAAUUCUCAUGGAUGCUUGGUCUCAAAUAAGACAUGAAAUUGGUGAUUUCUCCUCUAUCUCCUGAUUUGCACAGAUCUUCCCUUUGAGAUCCACAGAAGUAUAAUUGACAUGCUACAAUUAAGUCUUCCAAAAUACUGAUUUCAAAUCUGAAUUCUCAACUUGAAGUGUGUCAGAGGAAAGUUGUAUUUCCCCAGCUUUGCUUGCUUAUAGGCCACACUUUCAUUACUAAAUAACUCACACUAACAUACCCACCUACCUGCACCUGAAAUUUGAGCAUGUCCAUCCCAAAACAUGUCUACAAACUAUUAGGGCAUCUUGCAGGCUACGUAUGUGC